rnacentral:RNase_P_RNA from 1 species
GGAGCAGGCGAGGCAGUCGCUCCUUCUGCUGAGGAAGAAGGAGAGGAAAGUCCGAACUCCACAGGGCAGGAUGGUCGCUAACAGCGACUCCGGGCAACCGGGGGAAAGUGCCACAGAAAACAUACCGCCGGCUUCCUGUGGAAGUCAGGCAAGGGUGAAAUGGCGAGGUAAGAGCUCACCGCUCCAGGGGUGACUCUGGAGGCAGGGCAAACCCGAUCCGGAGCAAGACCAAAUUAACCCCAGGAAGGAUGGCCCGUCCGAUGGGGUGGGUAGGUCGCUUGAGCUGUUAAGCAAUUAACAGACAAGACAAAUGACUGCCGCAGCUUCUGGCUGCAACAGAAUUCGGCUUAUGUCCUGCUCCAGCC